rnacentral:lncRNA from 1 species
UAGGAAUAAGCCUGAUGUAGUGGACAAUUUUAAUGUGGUGACUCUCUCUGACAAUUCUUCUAUCAUAUCCAGGGAAAGGGGACAUCAGAACCUAAGAACUUGGACUGGAUCAGACUCUGCAAGAAUGCCUGCAACCUGACAGGAAGAAGACUUGAGCCUGAGUUAGCUUCAGUUAUGAUUUCACCAUGCAUACCCAAAAAAAUGGCAUCAGAGCAUGGAGAAGCAAGGAAAUAGAAUACAGAUGAAUUCUGCCAAGUCUCUCAAGGUCGAGCAAGUGCAAAAGAG